UACGUAUGGAGCGAGCGUUGUCCGGAAUUACUGGGCGUAAAGGGCGUGUAGGCGGUACGAUACGUAGCGGUUUUAAGCCUCCGGCUCACCCGGAGGAGGGCGGCUAAACGGUCGCACUGGAGGGCAGGAGAGGUGCAUGGAAUUCCUAGUGGGGCGGUGAAAUGCGUAGAGAUUAGGAAGAACACCAGUGGCGAAGGCGAUGCACUGGCCUGACCCUGACGCUGAGGCGCGACAGCGUGGGGAGCGAACGGGAUUAGAAACCCGCGUAGUCC
rnacentral:rRNA from 1 species